CAUAAUCCUGUAGCGAAAUUGUUGGCACAAGGACUUGUCGGUGCAGAGGGGGUUCAUUGGGCCAAAAACAGAAGGAUUAUGAAUCCUGCUUUCCAUCCAGAUAAGUUGAAGGUGUUAGUUUGAUAAAACAACUCUAAGACAACAAAGUUUAGGUUAAAAUAUUUAUUUAUUCCUUUUAUGAUGGUGGCACCCAAGGGUGUGGCCUAGUGGUCAAUGAAGUGGAUUGAGAAUCUGAGGUCUCAUGUUCAAAUUCCCGCCGAGACAAAAAAACACUUGGUGAUUUUUUUUCUCAUCUAUACUAGCUUUGGUGGACAGAAUUACCUGAUCUCUAUUGUUGUUGGGAGGUGGUAGGUAUCUCUUGGAUUUAGUUGCAAUAAAUGAAAGCUGACCCGAACACCGUUGUUAUAAAAAAAAUGAUGGUGACAUACGGGUAAAUUUGUGCAUACCUUGGCUAUAUUCUACUGAAUUACCGGGUAAAUCCAUCCACGUAGGCUUAGGCAAAUGGAAAGAAAUUAGUUAGUGUUUCGACAAUUUGAACCUGAGACUUCAUGAUUUCCCUGAUUUCGUAGAUUUGUGAAUAGUUAUUGUAUAACUAAUAAGGACUAUUUUUGAACUUCUGAAACAGAAUAUGCUGCCAGCAUUUUACCUGGGCUGCAAUGAGUUGGUGAACAAGUGGGAUGAAGUCUUUUGCCAGAAAGAUACCUGUGAACUGGAUAUAUGGCCUUCUAUUCAAAAUAUGAGCACCAAUAUUAUUGCACGUACCGCAUUUGGUGUUUCUUACCAACAAGGGAGAGACAUAUUUGAACUUCAAAAAGAACAAGCUUAUCAUCUUAUGGAAAUUGUACGUUCAGGACAUAUUCCAGGUUGGAGGUAACUUCACCAUGCACUUUUUUGUGCUCUUCUAUCCCAACUUACGUGGCACUUUUCGAAUUUCAAGAUAUACCUUAAUGUUUUCAUGUUUCUUUCAAGUAUUUUAAUUGUCAAAUAUGUAAUUUCUAGGACUCUUCAUGUAGUUUAAAAUUUAUAAAUUUUAUUGUUAAAAACUUGAAGAUUUCAUGCCUACAUUCACAAUCAAACUUCAAUUGUUUGACUCAGAUAGAAGGAGUAUUUUCUUAAAUCAACAUCUCUUCUGCUAAUGUCUGUUGAUGUUGACAUUUCAUUUGUUAAUUGUUCCAUAUUUGAUACGAGGAAUUAGUUGUCGGCUCCUUAUAUGGUCCUGGAUGAUUUUUAUGGGUGAUUUUUAUCUUAUGCGUACGCAAAUAAAGGAUUUGACCUUUAUCUGUUCGAAAUUCUACCACAUGCAUUUGAUUUACUGGUUCAACGCUAUUAUUUAUACUUAUUUGGUGGAUAGUUUAUCACCUAUACAAGUUUGAGAAAAAAUUUCACAGAUAACCCCUUUUCAACCCUUGUAAUUGAAAAAUAGCCAGCACUAUUACAUCUACAGGAUUUAGGCAAAAGUUACCAGGAUCUAAUGAACCCAUAACUGUAUUCUAGAACCAACUCGGACCACAUGAACUAACUCUUGCGAUUGAGUUUGACCUGAAUUUUUGUAUUUCUUGUUUACCCAAUAUUAGAUACCAAAUUUUAGUACCUUAUGUUUUCUAUUUUCUCGUUCAAUGACUAGUAUUUUUUACGGUAGGUUUCUACCAACUAAGAGAAACAGAAGGAUGAAAGAAAUUGAGAAGAAAAUUCAAGCAACAAUUAGAGGUAUUAUCGACGAUAGAUUGAAGGCAAUGAAAACAAGGCAUGCUAGUAAUAAUGAUUUAUUAGGUGCACUGUUAGAGUCCAGUUUCAAAAAUGGACAACCUGGGAACAAGAAUUCUGUAAUGAACAUCGGCGACAUAGUCGAGGAGUGCAAGUUAUUUUUUCUUGCUGGGCAGGAGAAUACUUCUGUGACGAUAGUAUGGACAAUGUUUCUAUUAAGCAUACAUCAAGGUUGGCAAGCACGAGCUAGAGAAGAGGUUUUGCAAGCUUUUGGCCAUGAUGAACCAAAUUUUGAUGGACUAAAUCAUUUGAAAAUUGUAAGUAUUUUUUCAAAUCAACGUUCAAUAAGUUUUUCUAUCCAAGAACUCAUUUAGUGCUCGACUCAAUUAUGUCUAGGUCAACAUGAUUUUACACGAGGUUCUUAGGUUGUACCCACCAGUAACUUCAAUUAGUCGGAAAAUUUAUAAAGAAACUAAUUUAGGAGAUAUGAGUCUACCUGCUGGGGUGUUAUUGUUGUUGCCCACAAUCUUGCUACAUCAUGAUCACGAACUAUGGAGUGACGAUGCAAGACAAUUCAAGCCUGAGAGAUUUAGUGAAGGAAUUUCAGGAGCAACAAAAGGGAAAGUCUCAUUUUUGCCGUUUGGUUGGGGACCCCGUAUCUGCAUUGGACAAAAUUUUGCUUUGUUAGAAGCAAAAUUGGCGAUAGCUAUGAUCUUAAAACAGUUCUCCUUUGAGCUAUCUACAGCUUAUGUGCAUGCUCCAUACAAGAUAGUGGCUCUUCAACCACAAGACGGUGUUCACCUAAUUUUGCGCAAGCUAUAGCUUAUAUUUAUGUUACUAAUGUUCUUACUUCCUAGGUGUUUCAUUUGGACAAUCUGGAGCUUACAUGAAAACUCAAGUAUUUGUGUAAUAACUGAUAAAUUACAAUGACUUAGCUAGCAGUGAGACGUGCAUGGGAUGGAAGUUUAUGGAUUAGUAGUCGACUUGUCUAUGAAGUAAUUGAUGGUAAGAUAAACGAUAAGGACACCAUUAGCCACUUGACAUCCUUUAAUUAUGUGCUCGAUCAUAUGAAUCAAGACACCCAAUAUACUACUACAACAGACAUUACCCAUUUCUCCUGAUCCCAACAACAUUUGUAAUAUCAUGCUUCAAAUGCAAAUCCGUAAGAAUUCUAAGUUGCUGAUUUCAUUUUCUCAAAGAGACUCACCACCCUAAGAGUAGAGCAUUGCGCUUACCACUAUCAUGAUCCCUGUACCAAAUAGAGCAGCCCAAUCAUCACAUAAAUGAACAGACAAGUCCAAA
rnacentral:lncRNA from 1 species